rnacentral:rRNA from 1 species
UACGUAGGUGGCAAGCGUUACUCGGAAUCACUAGGCGUAAGCGCAGGUAGGCGGUUCGGUAAGUCUCUUGUGAAAGCUCCCGGCUCAACUGGGAGAGGUCAAGGGAAACUGCCGGGCUAGAGUGUGGCAGAGGAAGCUGGAAUUCCCGGUGUAGCGGUGAAAUGCGUAGAGUAUCGGGAGGAACACCGAGUGCGAAAGCGGCUACCUGGCCCAUUCUUGACGCUGAGGCGCGAAAGCUAGGGGAGCAAACGGG